GGGAGUCUCUCGACCUGUUCCCUGGUCUGGCGUCGCCUUCGAGGCCUUGGUGCAUCAUGGAAAACAUCGCGCUCCACGAACCCGCUAUCGAGUGGACCAGCGUGCGCUUCCACGCCCAGCAGACAGCGUCCUCGACGCUGGGAGCGCCCUGAGGAAGCCCCUGAUCGUAGAGUACGGCACGAGACGCAGAGACGCGAGGCGGGUAUCGAGGAUAGCCUGCAGUGCCUGCCACGAGCGUGUACCGAGCGAUGACGCAAGCGUUGACGCGCCACAGGGCAGCCUUCUCAUGAAGACGUGUGGUCUGCAUAUCGUUAGACCUGAACGCAGCCACGUGUCGUCUCUGCGAAGGGCGUCUCCAGGUUGUCUGGCGAAAGGAUGAGAGUGGCAGGCGAAACGUCGAUCACAACUUUUGCCAGUGCACGGCAUGCGUUGACAACAAUCGGCAGCUACGACACCGGGAUUUGAACACCACCACCUAUAUCCAUCGACUGCUAUCGACGGAGCUGGCGGCAAAGGGGAGACCAGCGUGUUUACACCCGGAGAUUCGAGGAAACACAGGGAAACAUUCUUGGGGAAAGAGGCCACAAACGCUGGUGCGCAUAAGAAUAGGACGAAACGAAAACCUCGGUGCGUACGUCUUUAUCAGUGGAUCUGUUCUAUCUGGUACUGGCGUGAACAGUGAAACAGAAAAUGGUUCACAACCAUGGACGGUAGAUAUAUCCACUCACCCGCUGACGUCUCCCGGCCUUUUUGACCGACCCUCUGCUAUCUGCUCCAGCUUUUCCUUCUACUCUUCGAGCCUGAGAGGCUGCCCCACAAACUUGUAUCUCGUCAGCCCCGGGGGUCUCGUCUUCAGCACCACAAAUCUCCUGGUAUUGAUGACAGCGCUGAGGUCCUGGUACACGAAUCCGAUGCGUUUGCUGCCGCUGAUAGAACUCAUCAGUGCAAGAAUUCCUCGAACUCGCGCACUCUGUUCCACUAUAGUCUCAUUGUCGUCCAGCCCAACAAACACCUUUUCCCGCCUAUUUCCCUACUUAUUCUUUUUCGUCCUCAUUUGCCCCGUUUCGCUGGAUGAUUGACGAGGAGCGGAUCUUAUUCGUUGUUUUCCAGCAGCCAGCGACACAGUGCAUCCACGAUCCCCGAUUUAGGCAUCAAUACCUAUCCCCUUGACUUUUUAUUUCUUCAACUGAACACACUGGGAACGCGUCUUCUAUAACCCGAGAAAAGUCAUUUUUAAUGAAACGCAUCUGGUAACGGAACACUAUUGAAGUGAAAGUCUAUACACCGAUCGUCUGUCUGGACGGUGGCUCGCCACACCGAUCGCACCAACACACGAGUGGCGCUUGCCGCUGCAAAACAUACCAUUGUUGCUCAUUAGGAGUAGGUUCUAGAGCUUGCACUCCUUGUACGUCGAUCAUCAUCUAUACAGGCACAGGUAAUACGUUUCCGAGCCAGUGACUUUCCCAGACAGAAUCUGCUUUUGAACUAGCUUGCUGAACGUGUUUGAUCGUGCGCUUUGGGAGCAGGUACUUGAGCUUCGACGCUCAUGUGGGGAAGUUUACGCCUCUUGUCGCGGAUCCGCGUCCGCAACGGUUUGCCAGAAGCGUCUACUGGCAGACCGCUGAUCAACCUGAGGUGUCGUUCGAUGCACAGCAGCCAGCGAGACAACCCUGCAACGCAGACAGACGUCGCUGGGACCCAGCGCGCACUCAGUUCCGUUGCUGCUGCGGUAGCGGCGACGGCUGGGUCCGCCAAUGCCAACAUUCCGCUGCCUGACUUGCCGUACGAUUAUGACGCUUUGGAGCCGGUCAUCAGUGCAGAGAUCAUGCGUUUGCAUCACACCAAACACCACCAGGGCUACGUGAAAAACCUGAACAACGCACUGAACACGCUACACAGUACAGACCACGUUCCAACGCUCAUUUCGCUGCAGCCUUCACUGGUAUUCAACGGAGGGGGCCACCUCAAUCACUCGAUCCUUUGGACGAAUCUGGCUCCAGUCGGGAAGGGAGGCGGCGAGCUCCCGGAUAAAGAUUCACCCCUAUUGAAAGCCAUAGAGAGCGAUUUUGGUAGCCUGAACAAUUUCAUGAGCUUGAUGAACACUGCCGCAGCUGGGAUUCAAGGUAGCGGUUGGGCCUGGCUCGCCCUGAAUCGGAACCUGCGGCGACUGGACAUCAUCACUCGGUCGAAUCAGGAUCCCGUCGUAGGGGCCUACACACCGCUCCUCGGUAUUGAUGUUUGGGAGCACGCCUAUUAUCUCCAGUACAAGAGCGAUCGCGCAGCAUAUCUGAAGAACAUCUGGCAGGUCAUCCAUUGGAAAGAUGUCAUGAAGCGUUACGAAGCUGCGAUCGCAUGAAGGGACCCCUCAGAGGCUCAGUCAGUCAGUCAGUCAGUCAGUCAGUCAGUCAGUCAGUCGGUCGAUCGGUCGGUCGGUCGAUCGGCCUCGAUGCGAUUGGGUUCGUGGGAAACCGCCUGCGCUCCGCAUAUCGGCAGCGGGAUGAUCGAGCGGCAUUCUUCGGUAGCCGCGGUCGCUUCUGGUAGCCCGUGCAUUUCGCCAUGAGGGAUGCGUCAUUCGCCGUGAAGCGCCGGCUGGGCGACACUCGUCGAUAAACGGAUCGA
rnacentral:misc_RNA from 1 species